GACGAACGCUGGCGGCGUGCCUAAUACAUGCAAGUCGAACGCAGUGGGGACGGGUGAGUAACACGUGGGUAACCUCCCAUCAGAGGGGAUAACACUUGGAAACAGGUGCUAAACCGAUACUGAUGGAUGGACCCGCGGUGCAUUGGCUAGUUGGUGAGGUAACGGCUAACCAAGGCCACGAUGCAUAGCCGACCUGUGAGUGUGUGCGGCCAAACUGGAACGGAGACACGGACAAGACUCCGACGGGAGGAAGCAGUGGGGAAUCUUCGGCAAGGGACGAAAGGCUGACAGAGCAACGCCGCGGGAGUGAAGAAGGUUUGCGGAUCGUAAAGCUCUGUUGUUAGAGAAGCGUUAUCUAACCAGAAAGCCACGGCUAACUACGUGCCAGCAGCCGCGGUAAUAC
rnacentral:rRNA from 1 species